rnacentral:lncRNA from 1 species
UAUAAAAGGAUUGUAAUUAUUAUUCCAUAGUACGGAGGAAGGUAGUUGAGACCUGAGAAGUCUUACCAAACCUGUAAAGCUGGUAGACAGUGAAGCCAAGGUAUAACUCAGUCUGUGGGACUCCAGCACCCACAUCAUUUAUAGCCCUGCUGGUCACCUUCCUAAGAGAUCUAGGAAGGUUCUAUGUCAACCCCACCCAAACCACCUAAUUACCUAAUAAUUAAACUAUGCCAACAGAACUUCAUUUCUAAUGUAGGAUUUGUUAUGAAAAAUGCAGAAACAUGAGAAAAGAACCUCAAGAUGUUAUCAGGUAUUUCUACUUUGUUGUGAAUACAUGUGGAAGCAGCUCUGGGUUGAGGCAUUGAGAAUGAGGCACAGGACUCCAGGAACCUUGAGUCAGGCACGGGAAAGAAAAUUAGAUGAGGAUGUAGUAGAGGUGAAGGAGAAGGUGACCUUGACCAUGACAAGAUUGCCACAGGCAAUUCACCAUGUGGUUUUCUAUCUGGUCCUGGUCCAGUAAAAUAUCUUGAACAUAGUGUUUCUGAGGAUGGGAGCCAUGGGCCCUCAUUAUAAUACCUGUAAGCUUGCUUAAAAUGCAGAUUCC